CCUACGGGAGGCAGCAGUGAGGAAUAUUGGUCAAUGGGCGGGAGCCUGAACCAGCCAAGUCGCGUGAGGGAUGACGGCCCUAUGGGUUGUAAACCUCUUUUGCCGGGGAGCAAAGUGCCGCACGUGUGCGGUUUGGAGAGUACCCGGAGAAAAAGCAUCGGCUAACUCCGUGCCAGCAGCCGCGGUAAUACGGAGGAUGCGAGCGUUAUCCGGAUUUACUGGGUGUAAAGGGCGUGUAGCCGGGCUGACAAGGCAGAUGUGAAAUCCCGUGGCUCAACCACGGAACUGCAUUUGAAACUGUCGGUCGUGAGUAUCGGAGAGGCAGGCGGAAUUCCUAGUGUAGCGGUGAAAUGCGUAGAUAUUAGGAGGAACACCAGUGGCGAAGGCGGCCUGCUGGACGACAACUGACGGUGAGGCGCGAAAGCGUGGGGAGCAAACAGGAUUAGAUACCCCGGUAGUC
rnacentral:rRNA from 1 species